rnacentral:tRNA from 1 species
CGAUUUGCGGGCGGCGGUGGGCGAGCCGCUGCGCGAGUUUUUCUCGCGGCGCGGGGCGCUGGCCGUCCUGCUGCUGAUCGUGCUGUACAAGCUGG